rnacentral:lncRNA from 1 species
UUUUGUUUGUUAUCGGGCCCGCAACCUUCUCCUGGAGACCCGUUAAUCGGGGGGCGGGUAGCGUGUCGCAGACGGGUUCUCCCCUCGAAUUUCCUUUUUUUUCCUCUGCUGACUUUGUCCGUUUUCUUCCCCAUUUCCAGCGGCGCGAGCUUGAGGCAUUGAUUCAUGGCGAUUUUUGGUUAAGAGAUCUCAGUCGCUGAUCUCUCGAGGGCGAGCCGGUGGCUAGGCAUCCGGUCCUCCUCCCCCCUCCCCCCUCCCGUCCCCUGCUUCAUUGUCCUCAAACGCGCGCAGAGAGAGAGGCGAAAUCGAUGCCAUGGUGAUCCGGCUGCGCUGUCUUCUCUGCUUCGCUUGACUUCGCGCCACUCCUCAUCUUCCUCGUGUGGAUCUGCGAACCCUGUGUACCCCUCCUCAUCCUCCAUCCAUGGUUGGUUUUGUAAGUAUCCUUGCCCCCUGUGUUCCUCCCCCUGCUUUUUCUGUUCGAUUUUUGCUAGAUCCGGCGAAUCCUAUAGGUUUCCCUGUGUUGCCGUGGUUCCUAGAUGUUUUGGAUGUUGCAGGUUUGAGGUUCGAUGUGUAUGUAGUGGUGGAUCCUUCCUGUGUAUUGUUGAUUUUUUGUGCUUCCAGAUUCCGCUCUAGUUGCCAUUGUGAAGAAUAGCUCCUAGUUGUGUUCAAUUUCUUUAGUGGAUCCCUCUUGUAGUUGUCGCUGUGGAUCCCUCCUGGUUGGUUGUAGGUGCUGAACUCCUAGGUGUGUACCAUCCCUCCUGUAGUUGUCGCUACGGACCCCUCCAGUUUGGAUGUAUAUGCUGAAUCUAGCUCAUAGUUUGUAUGAAUAUAUAAAAUCAGUGUAAUCACAGCUAAUUUAAUGUGAUUACACUGUGUUCAAGUCUCCUCAUGUGUAUUUAUUAGAAAUCCAGUGUAAUUUCACUGAAAUUUGCAUUGUAAAUACAGUGUAUGUUUCAGUGAAUUUUCAGUGUAAUUAUUGUGGGCAUUUUCACUGGAAUUACAGUGCUUUCGAAUCAUAAUUACAGUGGUAAUUUCGGUGCAAUUACAGUGAAGAUAUUAGUGUGUAUUCCUAGUGGUUUUACACUGUAAUUCUCAGUGGAUUUACAGUGUAAUUUCUUUAGUACUUUAGGUGAUCUUUUGUAGUGUAAUUCUCAGUGCAUUUUCAAUGUAUCCUUAGUGCAUUUUGUAAUGUAAUUCUUUAGUGGGUUCAGAGGAUUCUUAGUGGAUUUACAAUGUAAGCUUAAGUGGAUUUACACUAGUUUUUAGUGGAUUUGCACUAUAAUUUCCAAUGGACUUGCAUCUUAACUCUUGAUUUUUACAGUGUAAUUUUCAGUGGAUUUACACUGUAGUUUUUAGUGGAUUUGCACUGUAAUUUCCGGUGGACUUGCAUUGUAACGCUUGAUUUUUACAGUGUAAUUUUCAGUGGAUUUACAUUGUAGUUUUUAGUAGAUUUGCACUGUAAUUUCCAGUGGAUUUACAUUGUAGUUUUUAGUAGAUUUGCACUGUAAUUUCCAGCGGACUUGCAUUGUAACUCUUUAUUUUUACAGUGUAAUUUUCAGUGGAUUUAGAAUGCAAUUUUUAGUGGAUUUACCGAUUUAGACUGUAAUUUUCCAGUGGAAUUUGCACUUUAACUCUUGAUUAUUUCAGUGUAAUUUUCAGUGGAUUUACUUUGUAGUUUUUAGUGGAUUUACACUGUGACUUUCAGUGGUAUUUACACUGUAAUUCUUGAUAUUUUUCAGUGUAAUUUCAGUGGAUUUACAUUGUAGUUUUUAGUAGAUUUGCACUGUAAUUUCCAGUGGAUUUACAUUGUAGUUUUUAGUAGAUUUGCACUGUAAUUUCCAGCAGACUUGCAUUGUAACUCUUGAUUUUUACAGUGUAAUUUUCAGUGGAUUUACAAUGCAAUUUUUAGGGGAUUUACCGAUUUAGACUGUAAUUUUCCAGUGGAAUUUGCACUGUAACUCUUGAUUAUUUCAGUGUAAUUUUCAGUGGAUUUACACUGUGAUUUUCAGUGUUAUUUACACUGUAAUUCUUAAUAUUUUUCAGUGUAAUUUCAGUGGAUUUACACUGUAAUCCUUAGUGCUUUUGGGUAGGGACGGUAUUUUACCCUUUUGUAAUCUGCAUUUGAGUAGGGGUUGGAUUAUCUUUGUAUUAUAUUUAGUGGAAUUCUUAUUGGAUUUACACUGUAUCUCUCAGUGGACUUACACCGUAAUUUUUUGUGGGUUUUACAGUGUAGUUCCAGGAUUUUAAAGUGUAAUUCUUAUUGGAUUUACACUGUAACUCUCAGUGGACUUGCACUGUUUUGUUGAGUAAACAAGUAUGCUCCACUCUGUUUUGUUGUCAAUAACCAAUUUCGAAAAGCAUGAUUGAAUCUGUUUUCUUUUCACAGGAUUUGUUAAUGCUAUAAGAGAGACAUGCAUUGAGGAACUUAGCUUCAUCAUGUUUGAGGUACAAGUUUCUGGCCCUUCAUGCUUGUUUCCAUCCCAUUUGAUUCCAUUGCAGGCACCUGUAAAUCUUGUUUGCCCCUUUUUUUCAGUUGAUAGGCUUAAUUGAUAUGAAUUGAUCAUUUUAUUACUUCCUAUGUGUACUCAUUUGUAUUUACAAAUAGUAGUUUGUAGCAAUUUGAUCUUCAAGUAGGAAAGAAAGGUCUUUCUAUGUAGUUCCAAAGUUUAUAAAAUUCAGUCCUAGUUUCUUUACUUUCUUGUAAAUGAGUUAUUUUGUAAUCAUGAUCUAAGUUUCUGAUUAGUGUAUAGUUUGUGUGUGCCAAAGUUUCUGAAUUACAGUCCUAGCUUUAUGAAAAUAUAGCAUUUCUAACCUGUUUGUUCAAGGAUUUUCCUAACUUUUUGUAUUUUAUCUCCCAGAACAUGUGAUCCCUAUCUUCUUUAUACUCAUUUCCAUGUGUUGUAACUGUUGUUUUCAAUUCAGAAACUUCCUAGUAGUUCUAAAAUUCAUGAAUUUAACAUGGAUUUUUUGUUUCCUAACCUUUCUGCUCGUGCACCCCUAGACUCAUAGGAUCCUAGGGUUCUUCCUGGAUCUAGUUUAAUUAUUGGUUCUAGUGUAAACUUCCAGAAUCCAUCCUUUUUUGAGUUUAUUUGUCUCUGCAGCAUGUAUAUAUAAUGGUUCACAGUCGCCCUUUAUUUGAUUUCUGAUGUAGACAGGCAGGGGGGAGAGAUCUGCCUAAAUCAUACUUAGUAUGUGGUGAUUGCAAAAUUGGGGUUGUUUACCUGUGCUUAGUCAUCUUCAGCAGAGUGGAUCGUCUUCGGGUUUCUGUCCCAGAUCAUGGAGGAAUCGCCCUCUUGGUUGGCACUUAUUCCCGUUUCCUCUAGCUAUUCUCCCCCCUCCAUGUUCUUCCCCUCUACAGUGCAUUUUUGUAGUGGAUAUUACACUGAAAAUAAUAGUGGAGUUAUUAUUGUAAUUUUAUAGCUUUUCAAUGUAAUUUUUAGUGCUCCAGAGCUUAAUUUGUCAUGGCAUUUUAGGUGUGUGUGCUUAGAUGACAUCAUCCUGAUCCUUUCCUUUUCUUUUCGUAUUGCUUUAGCUUAGUGCACAUGUACAUGGUAAAGCUUGCCUGUAACUUUGGGUUUUUUUGCCCUCCUUUUUGUUGCUUCUCUGUCCGAGCGGGAAAAGUUGGGUUGUGGACCCGUUAUGAUCAUGAUGCUGGUGGUGUUUAAGAGUUGGUGUGUGGACCCGUUUAAGCUCGUGAUGCUGGUGUGCUUAAAAUCAUGCUGGUGUGCUUAAAAUCGGGGGCAAGUAGGAACUAACAGAGGACAUGAGACACGGGACAGGGAGACACUUGUCAUUCUGUAAUAGGUGGGAAAAUCUGACUGAAAACGAAUUUGUUUUCAUCCGGAUGUAAAACAGACAGUCCCACUAUAUGAAUGCAUUAUGCAUAAAAACGAACGGCGAACAGUCUAUAUACAU